AAUGGGCGAAAGCCUGACGCAGCAACGCCGUGUGAGGGAUGAAGGCUUUCGGGUCGUAAACCUCUGUCGGAAGGGAAGAACGGGCAUUGGUCUAAUAGGCCUUUGUUUUGACGGUACCUUUAGAGGAAGCACCGGCUAACUCCGUGCCAGCAGCCGCGGUAAUACGGAGGGUGCAAGCGUUANUUGGAAUUACUGGGCGUAAAGCGCACGUAGGCCGCUUNGUAAGUCAGGGGUGAAAUCCCACGGCUCAACCGUGGAACUGCCUUUGAAACUGCAGAGCUUGAAUCCUGGAGAGGGUGGCGGAAUUCCUGGUGUAGGAGUGAAAUCCGUAGAUAUCAGGAGGAACACCGGUGGCGAAGGCGGCCACCUGGACGGUAACUGACGCUGAGGUGCGAAAGCGUGGGUAGCAAA
rnacentral:rRNA from 1 species